GCGCGAGUGGCGGAAUUGGCAGACGCGCAGGAUUCAGGUUCCUGUGCCCGUAAGGGUGUGGGGGUUCAAGUCCCCCCUCGCGCACCA
rnacentral:tRNA from 2 species